AACGAACGCUGGCGGCAGGCUUAACACAUGCAAGUCGAACGCCCCGCAAGGGGAGUGGCAGACGGGUGAGUAACGCGUGGGAAUCUACCCAGAACUUCGGAACAACUGAGGGAAACUUCAGCUAAUACCGGAUACGCCCUACGGGGGAAAGAUUUAUCGGUUUUGGAUGAGCCCGCGUUGGAUUAGCUAGUUGGUGGGGUAAUGGCCUACCAAGGCGACGAUCCAUAGCUGGUCUGAGAGGAUGAUCAGCCACACUGGGACUGAGACACGGCCCAGACUCCUACGGGAGGCAGCAGUGGGGAAUAUUGGACAAUGGGCGAAAGCCUGAUCCAGCCAUGCCGCGUGAGUGAUGAAGGCCUUAGGGUUGUAAAGCUCUUUCAGUGGGGAAGAUAAUGACGGUACCCACAGAAGAAGCACCGGCUAACUCCGUGCCAGCCGCCGCAGUAAUAC
rnacentral:rRNA from 1 species